UACGUAGGUGGCAAGCGUUGUCCGGAAUUAUUGGGCGUAAAGCGCGCGCAGGCGGUCUCUUAAGUCUGAUGUGAAAUCCCGUGGCUUAACCACGGGCGGUCAUUGGAAACUGGGGGACUUGAGUGCAGAAGAGAAGAGCGGAAUUCCACGUGUAGCGGUGAAAUGCGUAGAGAUGUGGAGGAACACUAGUGGCGAAGGCGGCUCUUUGGUCUGUAACUGACGCUGAGGCGCGAAAGCGUGGGGAGCGAACAGG
rnacentral:rRNA from 1 species